ACCAAUCAACAUUUAGAAUCCACCUCAUUCACAGUAUGAGCUAAACAAAAUGUAGCAUUAUGAAACGCAUGCUCCAAUUUUAUUGGUUUAGAGCAGUACGCCCUCCGCACGUAGGAGGGCGCUGCUGCUAUAAAAGGGGAGCUCUUCUGGUAAGGAAGUAGGUUCGGGAAACAGCUGGUGCCAUUAUGCCGCUGCGUUUUGGUACUGCCAGCCCGUGUCCUCAGGCUGCGUUUAUGGUGCGAUCGGCUCUGCUUCAACCGUGCUUGGGCAUUUGGGUCAGUGUUGGGUGUGAUGUCAUCGCUUGCCUGCUGAAUCCUCGUUGCUUCUGGGCAGAGAGUUCCCUUCUGUUCAGGCGUUACUAGCGGGAGGACCGAUUCCUCCGUGGUCCGGCCGGAGGCGCCGCUGUUUCGUCUUGUUUCUCUUUACCACAUUUUAAAUCAGCUGGCUGAAGGAAGUUCCCCUGGCUCCUGGCUGGAGUCCAGGAGGCAGAACAGCUGAUCAACAUCGUACAGAUUUUAUACAGUUCUCUUUUAAUUUAGUUUUCUUUGUGCAGGCUGAGGCAGGAGGUGUGGGGUGUGGCCUCGGAGGUGGUGGUCCCGUGUGCGAGUGUGAUGGUGCUGGGUUCUCACGUUGGUAUGAAUGCUCACUGCCGGGGGUGAAUCCCGGAUAUUUUUAUUUUUUGCUGGUUGGGGCUUCUCUGCCCCGAGUCACCUGCCUCCAUCACUAGCCUCAGUCCUGCUUGUCAACAUAUUUUUGUUUGGUUUAAAUUCAUUUGGUUUUGUCCUUGUCAUUAAUUUUAGCAUUUUUAUGUUUUACAUGGCAGUUUUUAAAAUGUCUUUUAAACAGUUUUUUUUAAAUAAAAUAAAAUCAUUGUAACUUCUGAAACCACGUCUGUUGUCAAGUGGAAUGAAUCUAUAUGCUUUAAUUCCUUGGGUGAAAUUCCCAAGGUGGCAUUGUUAAUGAAAUUGCACUCGAGCAGAUACAAUUGCCAUCCUUGGCGUCCACAGGUCAUAGACCACUCCCGUAUUGCCACAAAAAAACUGACUUUAACUCAGUUUUGCAGAUACUGAGCUAAACUUUCAUGUUGUAGUCGAGUCAUUCACAUCACACACUCUUACCUUUAACAGAUUAUGGUAGUACAUGAGAUCUCACAUGGCAUUUCCAAGAUUUCACCAAACUGGCUGGAACUCCUUUCUUUCUCAACAUCUUAGUUUGAAACACUCACAUAAAGGACUUCAGACAUGAAUCCCUUUCAGUAAUACUCAGCGAUUACAUUUUAAAAACAGCAUGGCUGUGGAAGACAUCCGAAAGAAAUCAGUGACCAAGCAGAUAAGCACCAUCAAUAGUUGUAUUCUCACACUCAGGGCUGAUCAGUGGGGUCUUGUCUACAACCCUGACCAGGUGUAUCAAAUGAAACCAAUUAGGUCAAUAACCCGAUGCAGCACACAGUCUGCUGUUCUGCCACUAAGAGGUGAAUGACAACAGAGAAAUUUGUGUGUUUUUCAGGGUAGGUGCUUUCUAGAGGACAUGGAGAAUUAAGGCCCAAUCACAAUGACUCUUCGGCAAAGUGCACUUGGAGGAAGUGCCCAGUAAGGCUUUGACUAGGUAGUACACAAGUAUGCAAAUAAUUGCCAAAAUUGGACAGGGAGCAUUG